rnacentral:rRNA from 1 species
UUGUAAUUGGAAUGAUAGAAAUUUAAACCCUUUUUAAAGUAUCAAUUGGAGGGCAAGUCUGGUGCCAGCAGCCGCGGUAAUUCCAGCUCCAAUAGCGUAUAUUAAAAUUGUUGCAGUUAAAAAGCUCGUAGUUGAAGUUCUGCUAAAAGUAACCGGUCUGCUUUUAAUAAAGGUGGUAUCUUGGUGUGUAUUUAGCAAUGAUGUCCUUUGAAGUGUUUUUUACUUUAUUGUAAUAAAGCAUAUUCAGGACUUUUACUUUGAAAAAAUUAGAGUGUUUCUAGCAGGCUAACGCUUUGAAUACUGCAGCAUGGAAUAAUAAGAUAGGAUUUUAGUUCUACAUUAUUGGUUUUAAGAGCUAAAUUAAUGAUUGAUAGGGACAGUUGGGGGCAUUUGUAUUUAACCUGUCACAGGUGAAAUUCUUAGAUUUGUUAAAGACAAACUACUGCGAAAGCAUUUGCCAAAGAUGUUUUCAUUAAUCAAGAACGAAAGUUAGGGGAUCGAAGACGAUCAGAUACCCGUCGUAGUCUUAACUAUAAACUAUGCCGA